rnacentral:tRNA from 1 species
GCAAGGCUGGCGUAAUGGUUAUAAUGACAGCCUUCCAAGCUGUCGAUCUGGGUUCGACUCCCGGGCUUCACA